CCUACGGGUGGCAGCAGUGAGGAAUCUUGGUCAAUGGCCACAGGGCUGAACCAGCCAAGUCGCGUGAGGGAUGACGGUCCUAUGGAUUGUAAACCUCUUUUGUCAGGGAGCAAAGGGCGCCACGUGUGGCGUUUUGCGAGUACCUGAAGAAAACGCAUCGGCAAACUUCGCGCCAGCAGCCGCGGUAAUACGGGGGAUGCGAGCGUUAUCCGGUUUUAUUGGGUUAAAAGGGUGCGCAGGCGGAAUGUCAAGUCAGCGGUAAUAUUUCGGGGCUCAACCCCGUCGUGCCGUUGAAACUGGCGUUCUUGAGUGAGCGAGAAGUAUGCGGAAUGCGUGGUGUAGCGGUGAAAUGCAUAGAUAUCACGCAGAACUCAGAGUGCGAAGGCAGCAUACCGGCGCUCAACUGACGCUCAUGCACGAAAGCGUGGGUAUCGAACAGGAUUAGAUACCCUUGUAGUC
rnacentral:rRNA from 1 species